UACGUAGGGGGCAAGCGUUGUCCGGAAUUAUUGGGCGUAAAACGCGCGCAGGCGGUUUCUUAAGUCUGGUGUGAAAGCCCGCAGCUCAACUGCGGAGGGCCACUGGAAACUGGGAAGCUUGAGUGUAGGAGAGGAGAGCGGAAUUCCACGUGUAGCGGUGAAAUGCGUAGAUAUGUGGAGGAACACCCGUGGCGAAAGCGGCUCUCUGGCCUAUAACUGACGCUGAGGCGCGAAAGCGUGGGGAGCGAACAGG
rnacentral:rRNA from 1 species